rnacentral:rRNA from 1 species
CGCACGGGUGAGUAACACGUAUCCAACCUGCCGUCUACUCUUGGACAGCCUUCUGAAAGGAAGAUUAAUACAAGAUGGCAUCAUGAGUCCGCAUGUUCACAUGAUUAAAGGUAUUCCGGUAGACGAUGGGGAUGCGUUCCAUUAGAUAGUAGGCGGGGUAACGGCCCACCUAGUCUUCGAUGGAUAGGGGUUCUGAGAGGAAGGUCCCCCACAUUGGAACUGAGAUACGGUCCAA